rnacentral:lncRNA from 1 species
AGAGCAGCCAGACACUUCUAGACUCCGGAUGGAGUUCUGCACUUGUGAUGUUCUUGAGGACACUUCGGUGGAAAGGAAAGCACCACAACGCAGGGGUGCCCCUGGAAGUUCCUGGUCUGAAGAGCAGAUGGGAAUCUACUCCCUGGGGGCCAAGGCCUACACAGAAUGAUCUCCUCCUGCUCAACACACAGAGCCAUAAAACAGACCCAGGGUUCUGUGGCAGGCUGCACAGCCGGCAGGAAUCCAAUACUCCCGGCAUCUGGCUGAUAAGAGGACCCUGCGGACCCAGCACAUGCUAAGGGCCCAGGCCUGGAAGAUAAAGCACACCUACACCAAGGCUCACACUGCUUUAUGUUCACCUGCUCACACCUGGAUUUUUCUAGAGACUUCUCCAAGUAACAAGAGGGGGCAUAUUUGUGGGAAUUUCCUGUUUGGUCUGCUUGGGUUUCUCUCCAGGACCCCACGGCUGGCAGCCUGGCUGGCCCCAGGCCCCAGGGGUCUUUUUCACUCAAGGGUUUGGAGGGCAACCUUUCACUCAGGUUAGUCACUGUUUGCUCACUCUCCCAUCCCUCAAUCUGUGAUGCCCUUGCUGGCAGGCAGGGGACAUCUCUUCGUGGGCAUCCCCAGUAUCCUGCAGGAGCCAGGGACACUGGAGACACCAGCAAAGAAUGCUCUUCCUUAGCGACUCUUUCAGGUCUGCACUCCUUCCCUCAUCCACACUCUAUAGGAGCUGGCAUCAAAGGGGCCUGCAAUCUUGCUAAACCAGAGUCUUUUUUUGGUUACUCAAGAAUCGAGGUGUCCUUCACCCAAAAUGGAAAUGUUCCUAACCCUCCCUAUUGGGCAGGGCCCAGCAAAUGCUCCAUCUCUGGUGAGAAGGUCAUUAACUUGGCUCUUCCCUCCUCCUCUCUCCUGGAUUCCAUCCUCUUAAGAACUAAAAAUAAUGAAGGGCUAGAGGAGAGAGGCGAGAGAGGAAGAAGGCACAGGAAAUGCUGUGCUGAACAGAGGCCUCGCAGAGCUCACACCAGGGGCCUCGCAGAGCUCACACCAGGGGCCUCUCCAGGCCUCAAAGGCUGCUGGGCCCGGAGGCUAGGAGGGGACCAACAAUAGGAGGAAACAGGGAGUGGCCAAAGGGGCUGGGGAAGAGCACGAGGCGGAUGGGCAGCCUUUCGAGGCUGACUUCCUAAUGGAUAAAGCCCAGAGGACAGAAGGGCUCAGCCUUUCCUCUGGGAAAGGGCGCCUGGGCUCUGCCCAGCUGGUUAAGGGCCACCCCUGCAACACGCAGCAGAUCCUCUCCCGCCCUGCGCUCAUCCACUCCUCCCCAGAGAUUUUAUUUUUACUUUGGUAAAUGCAAAACAACAAGGCCAAGUUACAGAGGGUGGAAAUUUACCAAAGGCCUUCACUGAUCGGCAGACAAUUGGCACUGAAGUUCUGGAACCUCCGAGCACCCGCAGAGUCCAUCUUGGGCCGCUCUCUCAGAGGCGCCAGCCAGGGGACUCAGCCCCAUCUCCACCCCCAACACACCUUCUUGGGAACAGCUUCCUGGUCUGGGGAGCUAGAGUUGCUUAAUCCUUCCUUUAUAGCCCACAGAGAGGUAAGGCAGGGCAGGAGCGCAGCCCAUAGCAUGCGAGCUGUUCUAGUGCCAGUUCAAGAAAUAGCUCGUGUGCUUACCAGAGCCAGACACAGGGCUGAGUAUUUGCUAUGUGUGUGUGAUAAGAGUCUCUCAACCCAUCACAGAGGUGCUGUCACUGUCCCACUUCACAGAUGGGAACACUGAGGCACAGAGUCAUGAGACAACUUGCCCAAGGUUCUGUACAUGUGUAGUCAGGCAGGCUGGCUGCGGAUCCAAGCUCUUCAUCACUCUGCUGGGCUGCCUCAUUUCCUGUCAUGUGGAACAGGUAACAUUAUAGCCAGAUAAACUGAGAUUUAGAUCCUGCCACUCCUGGCUGGUGGCACUAGGCAAGUUACCAAACCUCUCUGAGCUUCAGUUUCCUCAUCUAUAAAAUGGAAAUACCAUGUAUCCUAAAGUAUUGUUUUCAGGGUUAAAUUAAAUUCUCUGUGUGCAGUGCCUGGUACAUACACAAGAGCACUCAACAGAGGCAGAUACAUUUUGCAUACCUCUCACGUAUACUGUCUGGUCUGACCCCCUCAAGGUCAAGAGCCUAUGGAUCGGAUGAACUGUAUGGGAGACAGCUCUGUAUGAGCCCAGCAGAUGUUAGCAGUAGGGUCUGACCACCUCCUCUUCUAUCCCUAAUCCCAGCCUUGAAUCCCACCUUUCCACAAGGAAAGGGCAGAAGGUGUAGGCCACAGCCAGGAGGAAGUGGAUCCCCAAUGAAAAGUCCUAUUCCUUGACAGAAACAGAGUCUUUCUGGAACUCCAAAAUGCCCAGGAGCUACUUUCUAGUCGGGUGUGAGAGGGAGUGCACGGACGAUGAGGCAGCCUGGCAGGAGAGCCACUAGAGGCUCUCGUGUUUCCUGAAAAUCCCCCCACCCAAACCUCCCCCAGGGACCUGGGAUCUGAAAUAAGUAACUCUGCCUGUUCCCCGGGAGACUGAGCUGAGCAACAGGGACACAGGCAGCUCUGCCAGGUGGCCACAAGUGGAAACAGACUUCUUCAUCCCAUGCUGGAGGAUGACAUUUACAAAGCCAGGAAUCUAAAACGAAGUUUUCUGCAGAAAGUUCAAGAAUCUAAAAUGCCAUCUUCUCUCCCCAAAGCUCUCCCAGGCACAGCCCUGCUAAAGGAAACACACUUACUUCUGUGUGAACAGCUCUUUAGUAACCCCUGGUUCUUUUUCAGAGAUUCCUGAGAUUGAAAAAACUUCAGGUUAUACAUUUUAAAACCUUAGGAUACUACUGGAUAUAGUAGAAGGGACAAGAUUUCCUCAACCUCCAAUUGCUAAAAGUUUACCUCUCUAGGCCAAGAACAUUAAUGGACAAAACACUGCCUUUUAAUUAGUUUCUGGGAAUGCAAAAAAGACCUUGUAAGAGAUUUGGUUAAGGGGGUCAUCCUGGUCUAAAUCCAAAGCCAGAGUUUUGGGAACUCCCACUUAAGGAAUUUCCAACAAGGAAACUUUUGAGGGAGGACUUGAAUACCACAUGACGGCUUAUAAGCAGUUAUCAAGCUACACUGGUGCAAUUCAUAUUUCUGACAGAUUAUGCUGAUGUGCCUGUGGCUAAAUGGCACUCAGCAAGUGAGAAUGCAGACUCGCAGAGAGAACCAGAAACCCCAAGCUGCUUUCCAAAGAAGCAUCUGCAGCCCUGCCCCAGCAGUGGCCAAUGCGCAGCUCUGAAUUCUGCUAUGAGUCACCCAGCUUCCCUCUCCUGACCAGAGCUGUUCAGGGUAGAGACCCUGUGUCUCGGUUCAGCAGUCAUGCAUCUGUUCACGUGCAGACCUCUGGAAGCACAGGAAACGGGUUGCCAAAAAGGGACACCAGAGAACCCCCAAGUAUGAGCAAGACUCAUCAGCUCUCAGGGCUCAGCUGUCCCCCGGGUCAUCUUGACGGGCACAUCUGUCUCGGAGUGAAGUCACCAAGGAAAAACCCAGCUGAAGAAAAUAUUUUCAGGCAGUCGUCAUUUGAAUCUUCGGAAAAGGAAGCGAGCCGAUAAACUGCCAAAGAGCCCCGGGAUUCAAGGUGGCCAAAGAGGCGCAUGGAAAGUAUUUGCCUUGGGAAUGUGGGCAGCUGAGCUAUUUACACAGUGUGUGGCCAGCACGACGCAAAUGGACCAGAAGCUCCUAGAACUGUUUCCUCUUCCCUUUCCUUUCCCCCUUUCCCUUAACAGGAUAGCCAGCCAGCAGAGGCUCCCUGUAAACCUGAGUCAGGAGGAAAGGCCGUGGGUGAGUGACUAGCAGCCAGGUGAUAUAGGGCAGAGGCCAGCAGACUCACCUUGUUUGGCUACAUUUUUUUUCUAAAUUAGUUGCUAACAUUUAAAAAUCAGAUUCCACACAAAAAUCCGAAUUCCCAACUUCUCUUUGAAAUCCUGGGCCUGUAAUCCCGGACAGCGGCCCCUGCCUGGGGCUGAGCAGCAGCCACUUAAGAUGGGACCUUCUCUUCCCCUGUCACUGGGUCCCGCUGACACAGGUCACCUGCCCGGCCCCUGGUGGCAUUUGAGUUUGAGCCGCUGGAUUUAGAGACAAAGGGGAAAGUGCUGAGGAAAGCCAAAGACCUCCACUGUAGUCUACUCACUGGCCAUGUCAACGCGGGCAAGUCACCUACUUUGCUGAGCUGCUGUUUCUCCCUCUGCAAACAGAAAUGAAAAUGCACAGCAAGGCCUCAUCCCCAAAACUGUAGGGAGGACUAGGUAGGAAAACACGGGACAUGCUUGAAAACCUGAACACACACCAUGCAAGUAAGAUGUGGCCCUUCGGGUCUGAAAGAUGAAAUAGAACACCAAGACAAAACGGGCCUCUCUGAUGAGAUGAGUAGCGGAGGAAACGACAGAUCACACAAAAGCUACCUCGGUGGUCACCGGCGGGGGCUGAGAUGGAAGCCAGGAUUUCUAAACCACCCAGCCCCACCAACCUGGCCCUGCCUGCGGUACCACCUCCCCACCCAGAGAAGUGGAACAUCACUGUGGUCGUGGCUGAGCAGUACCUGACUCUGACCAACCUCUGCCUCUAAUUAGUUACAACACAAUUUAGAACCCGGGAUGGUUGGCGUUUGGGACUUGCAGCCACGGCCCAGCCCAGGUGAGGCGAGGAGACACUCACGGAAGCACCUGUGGUGGGGCCAGGAGGAAGCCUAGCAUCCUGGCAAUGAAACUCAACACUCAAAAUGCUAGGAGUAAAUCACAGGGCACUGUGGCCUCUGGGGAUUUCACAGUGUAGCGGCCAACUGCAUUUUGAGGGGUGACCCAAAAGCUCCUGGCCAUCUGCGGUCUUCCCCACCAGCCUGCCUAAAAAUGAAAGAAAUGACAGACAUGACCGCAGAGGGCUACCAAUGGGCUUCUCAGAAGAUAAAGAGAGGUUUAAAUGAUAAAGGCAUCAGUCCUAUAUCUGCCCCAAAGCCCUCCUUAAGGCCACAUGUGGAGAGCGAGCAGCUGUGAUACCAGAAGGGAGCACAUGGCACGGUGGGAUCUGGUGCCUGUCGUGGCAGCAAUGACUCAGGCCACCCAAUCAGGGCAAGACUCAGCAAGGUCUGCCAGCUCCCAUCAAGCCAGAGGCGCUCAGAGGGAGAAGCUGUAAGUGCUUGCUGCUCUCAGGAGCAAGAGGUCAUCUUGCUUCUUACCAGCUCCUUACCAAGGCAUCAUAUGUGACGGACAUGGCUCCCUGGUGUCCAGGGGCUCCAGGGGCUCUGGGAAGAUAGAGCAUGUGCAGCGUCAUGCCCCAGCACACUGACCCCACAGAUCUAAUGGGACCAUGCUGAACAUAUGAGGAUCACAAAUUCCAUGGGAGACCCUAAGAUCUACCCUCAGGGACAGCUAAGGCGAUUCUGGAACAGGGCUGCCAAAACAGCCAGUCAAUCACUAAAGUUCCUAAUUUACCACCCUGACAACUCUCCCUACGGCUAGCACCCCUUGCUCUUCCUAUCUCUCCAGGAUCACAACAGCCUGUCCUGCCUUGGGUGUGCCUUCCUGCAACCCACUCUCCACUCAUCAGCCUUGCAGAUCUUUCUAAAACAUCAAUCUGAUCAUGCCAAUUUCAUCAUGUCCCUCCCCUGCUUUAAACCUUCUGUGGCUUCCCUAAAGCCUGCAGGACAAAGACCACAGACCACACAUGGACUCUCAAGGGCUCUCGCCUCUCCCCACCAAUGCGUCCCUUCACUCCCUGGGCUGUUGCAAAACUGAUCUGGUUGUGUUUGCCAACACACACCACACUGCUUCAUGCUCCUGAACCUUUUGUGCUGGCCCCUCUGGCUGGAAGACCCUUCCCCUAACCUACCGAGAGAACUCUUCUUCAUUCUUUACCAUGCGCAAUUAUCACCUCCUCUUUGCACUUUUUGCCCAAUGCACUCAAAAAGGCUAAUCGCUUCUCCCCUAUACCUCACACACGCAUCUGCUUCUCUGCUGAGAGGACAUUCACGUGAUCUGGUGAUGACAUGAGUGUUACCCCCACUAGAGUGAGCAUUCCUUGAGGACUGGAAAUGGCCAGUUCAUUGCUGAACCCCUAGGCCCUACCUGGCACACUGCUUUCCCAGAGUUGGGAAUCGAUAAAUAUAGGCUAACAUAAACAUGUGGGAACCCCGCCAAGACCCAAGAGUCUGGUUGAGAAAGCGGAAGAGUGCUCAGAAUGCCUAGCCCUUACUGUGGGGUCUGGCUUAAGGGCGGGGUUUCUGAAGCAGAAAGGUAAGUUAAGUAAGGGUUGCCUCACACCCAGAGGCCAAGAACCAGAGGCAGCAGCAUCCAGACUCAGUGAGGUCCCACAACCAGGGCCAGCCCAUCAGGGAGAGAGGCAAACAAGAGGAGCUCUGGAACCAGGACCCAGGCAGGUAACCUGGGCUGGCUCCUGGACUCCUUUGUCCAAUCAGACCACCCACAUUUUCUGACAUCAGUGCUGUCCCUGGAUGCACUGGGCACAGCUGUGAGUGCUUUCUCCUGCAGAUCUGGGAUAGGGCUACAGGAAUUCAGAAGAGGAAGCUAUUACUUUGGGAGAAAAAGGGAAAAAAUUAAAAAUUAAGGAAGCUUCAUGGAAAAGGUGACAUUUAAGCUAAGUCUUAAAAAGAUGAGGAAAAUGUGUGUGUGUGUGUGUGUGUGUGUGUGCGCGCGCGCGUGCGAAGUGGAGGUUGGUAUUUCAGGAUUGAGAAAAGCAUAAGCAAAAGCCUAGAAGCAAAAAAGCACCAACAGCACAGCCAACAGCACAGCCAACAGCACAGCCAACAGCUUGGCUCAGCUCAGCACUAAGGGCCUGGCACGGAGCAGUUUGCCCCAGAGGGAGGCAAAAAGAGGGAAAAUUGUCUGUAAGGAAUUUAAAACAAUACUGAAACUGAUGGGCUUUUUACCAUGACCAUGAGCUGGCGAUUCUGAUUUAAACAUAAUCCAACACCUCCCCCAACAACCUUUUGUCUAAUUCUGAACAAUUGCUGCAUUAUUCUUGACUUUUAAUAAUAUAUGUAAGCUUCAAAUUCACACAGACUAAUUACCUUUUCAUAAACAUUACAUUCUCUAUGGAAGUUAAUUCAAAUAACUCAUAUUAAUAGUUGCAAAGCCAGCCCCUGACACCCGUGGACUCAGCUACCCAUGUUUCAAGAGCAAGUUCACAGGAUUCGGUAUCAGUGGCACUCACUUUGGGGUGGCUCGUCCCCCGAGUCCUGUGGUACGAUGUGUUCCUAAGCUUGAAGACCAGACCAAAAAUAAAGGCUGGAAGCACAGUCAUUGUAAAGACAAAGAAAUAGAACCUGGGCUAUUCCAUCCUCUCAUUCUACCAGACCACUUGGGAGUUUCUAUUUAUGUUUCUGACUUUUCAACAAUGAGAUGUUAAUCAAUCCUGAAGAACUGAAGAACAGGACUUUGUUGCAAUGUCUGGAAUUUACUGUGAAAUGGGAUUGUUGUGAAUUUCUGCCAAAUUUUAUGUUUAAGAUUUAUCCUAUUUGUAUAUCUGCUGUUUCAACCAAAAGAAAUUUUUCAAAAUUAACAGGAAUAAAAAGUGCUCUGCGACCAGCUUUGAGGGAAGAUAGACCAACAAAUGCGGCUUUGUCUAUUGAUCAUGAUGAAUAGGGAAAGAUCAGUAUUUACGAAGUCUGAUCAAUUUACAGAAGACUCAAAACCAGAAACUAUAGUUUUUAUUCAUUACUGCUACAGACCACUAUGAAAGUGUAACCUUUCCCCUUUUUCAAAAUAAGCAUUAGCGUCAUUAAAUUCAUUACUCCCUGCCCCCCUUUUUUUAUUGCUGGCAUCAUAUACACAAAAUUCAAUAAUAGAAAUGUUUAACUGUCUGAAAUUAUUUUCUGGCCAUUAUCAUCAUCAUUAUUAUUUAUUUCUUAAUUAUUGAAAUAAUUUUGUUACUAUAGAAGAGGGGAGUAUUUUAAAAAAUCUACUCCUGAGCUGGGCAUGGUGGCUCACGCCUGUAAUCCCAACACUUUGGGAGGCCGAGGCGGGUGGAUCACCUGAGGUCAGGAGUUCGAGACCAGCCUGGCCAACAUGGUGAAACUCCGUCUCUAGUAAAAAUACAAAAAUUAGCCGGGCGUGGUGGCGGGCGCCUGGGCUGAGGCUGGAGAAUCGCUUGAACCCAGGAGGCGGAGGUUGCAGUGAGCGGAGAUCGCGCCAUUGAAUUCUAGCCUGGGCAACAAGAGCGAAACUCUGUCUCAAAAAAAAAAAAAAAUGUACUCCUGGUGUAAAAUAUGCUAGAUGCACCACUGAUUCAGCUUCCCAACAAGAAGGUCCUAAGAGAACAGAAGGUGAGUCUUCUGGAAUAACAAAGCCAACAUCACCACAGGCCUCAACUGCCAGGCUAAUGAACUUGGACUACUGUCUCUAGGUAAAUAACAGAGAAAAUUACCAAGAACUAUGACUAUCCAAAACGUGAAAACUCAAAGUAUCAAAAGCAAAGACACCUGCAAACCAAAGCAGAAGUCAAAUAAACUGCAGAAAAUAUUUUACAAAAUAAAGUAUGCUUGAAGGGUUAAGUUUUAUAUACAAAGAACUCAAACAAAUGGGUAAAAACAAUCUCAGGUGCCAGUAGAUAACCUGGCAACAUACAUAUAAUUCAACAUACAUAUAAUGAAAUAAUAAUAUAUGUUUGCCUAUUAGCAACAAAAAAAAUGUUUUUUUGGUUUGUUUUUUUUUUGUUUUUGUUUUUCUGAGAUGUUGUCUCGAACUGUCGCCCAGGCUGGAGUGCAGCUGCACAAUCCCAGCUCACUGCAACCUCCGCCUCCAGGGGUCAAGCAAUUCUCCUGCCUCAACCUCCUGAGUAGCCUGGACUAGAAGAUGCACGCCACCAUGCCUGGCUAAUUUUUGUAUUUUUAGUAGAGAUGGGGUUUCACUACUUGCCUCAGCUGGUCUCGAACCCCUGACCUCAAGUGAUCCGCCUGCCUCGCCCUCCCAAAAUGCUGGGAUUACAGGCGUGAGCCACCAAGCUCCGCCGCAAAAAAAAAAAAAAAAAAAAAAAAAAAAAUUUCAAUAGUGAAUCCUAGUGUUGGUGAGGAGGAGAGUAAGGUGUGAUACAUGCCAACCCACUGCUGGGAGGCAUCCCCAAGACACAUGACCUUUUGGGAAAGCAGCCCAGGAAUAUUCUGCAAGGGCCAUAAAAAUGUUUCAACCUUUCAGUUAUUUAUUUUACCUCUGGAAAUCUACUUAAGGAAAUACUCCAAAAAACGGAAAAAGUUACAUGCACCAAGAUGUUAAUUAUGCCAUUGUUUCUAAUAACAAUAGUAGUGAAAAUAGCCCAACUUCCAACAACAGAGGAUGAUUAAACAAAUUAGAGGCACAUCCUUGGGAUGGAUCGUUCAGUCCUUAACUAUCAGGGUUAAGAAAGAAACGUGGAAAAUGUUGCUAUAAGAUUAAGGGGCAGGGAGCAGAAUUAGCUACGGAAAAUAUACAGACUUAGGCUAAGAAGAAAUAUACCAAUUUAUAAGAGUAGUUGUACUAAUACGCAUUUCUGCACAUUAACUUUAUACUGGCUUUGAUCAACGAUUUAACCCUUUGCUCUCAUUUCUCAGUUAUUAUAUUCUAUUGCACUACAUGCAUAUUUGUAAGUAUCCACAAAUCUUUUGAAUAAGGUAGAAUACAAAUUAACCAAUUAAUUAAUAAUGCAUAGAAUCAAGCUGUUUCAUCAUUAUGAUCGUAGGGUUAUGAUGAUACCUAUUCUUUUUAUUUUCGAAAUUUCUGUAGCCUGGUUAGUUUGCUUUUACAAUGUAAAAAAUAUACAGAACACCAAAUAAACAAGUAACAUAAAGAAACUGCUACCAUAUCUUACACCUUCAGUGCUCCUUCCUAUAUUUGAUCUGAGAACACAGCACUCUCCAAAAUGUCCCUUCAGCUAAGGGAGAAAUAGGGCUUUCUUCCUGUAGGUUCUGUGAGCUCAGGACUGAAAACUGUUCCCUGAAUGGGUUGACUGCUCCGUGAAGACCCCAAGGAUCUCUAGAAGCCCAGGAACAUUAGUGGAGGACCAUUCGGAUGACAGACAGCAGCUAGACUCCUAGGGUGGAGGCGCCUUCCCAAUAUUCAAACAACAUGGGUAAGAACAGGAUCAGAAAAGAGACUGAUGUGGGAAACCCUUCCACAAAGAACAGAUCAAAGGAGUGAGCCCCUGAGGGCAGGGACCGUGGAAUCCAUCUUUGUACUCCUUGCUACAAAUGUGAUGCCAAGUAAAAGAACCCAAUAAAUGCUGUUGCUAAUGGAUUCACGCAUGCAUGCACACAUGCAUUCACUGUUGGACAAAUAUUUACAGAUGUGCCACUGUUCUAGCCGCAGGUGAUUUAGCAGUGAACACAACGAAGUCCCUAUCCUUAAAGCAGCUUACAUUCUAAGUGGGGACAGGCAGAUGAUAAACAAAUAAAGACAUAUUGCAUCAGGCAGCUAUGAGCAUCCUGAAGAUAAAUAAAGCCAGGUAGGGGAAAAGGGAGAACCCCAGGGAGGCGGGGAGAGGGGUGUGCUGGCUUAGUUGGCCAUGGUCUUUCUGCAGGAAGUGAGGGGCUGAGCCAUACACAGGCAGAGGGUAUGGCACUGCAGACAGAGGGAGCGGUCAAGUGCACAGGCUUUGAGACAGGUGUGUGGGCAGCUUCAAAGGCCAGCAGGAACAGCAAAGUGGCUGGAACAGAGUAAACAAAGAGGAGAAUAUAUCACAUAUGAGGUCAGUUCUUGCAGAGUUUUUUAGGCUGUUCUUAGGACUUCGGAUUUUAUGUCAGUGAGAUAGGAAGCUGCUGGAGGGUUUUGAGUGAGGAGUGUCAUAGUCUGGCUUAUGUUCUAAAAGGCUCACGCUGCUUCUGUGUGUACACCUGGGGAACAGAAAGCAGGCGAGAAAGGGUGAAAACAAGAAAGAUCCAUUUUGAAGCUGCUGUAAUUGUCCAAGUGAGAGAGGAAGAUGGAUUUUUUUAAAACUCUCCAUUUUAGACUGAGAAAUAAAAAUUUUUUAUCUGAGAAUCCAAGCCCCCUUUAAUUAUCAAACCCAGAGAGGCACCGAAAUGUGACAGCGUGUGACAGCGAUCACGUCUCACUCCCCGCCUGAGCUAAAUAAUCACCUCUUGAAGCCACUUGCUAUGUGGGCUCAAGACUAACUGAUGCUAAGUAGCCAUAAAAUGACAUAUGCUUGACACCAUCACUCGUACUCCAUAGUUCAACAGUGUAGAGCAAUCACUAUCCAAUGUUAUCUCUGUAAACCAGGGAGGAUUCCUGUCAAACAACUUUGUAUCAGCCCACUUCCUUGUUCCUUUUGCCUUUGAAAACCUGCUUGUAACAAAGGCCAAACAGAGCACUCCCCAAGGCAACUUGGAAGUGUGUCCUGGGCAGCUGUCCUCCACCUUGGCUCAGAUAUUAGGUCGACAAGACCACGGCUGUCUUUCGGUGUGAGGCAUAUGGCUUCUUCUCACUCCCACUCUAACCUGGAGCUGCAAUCCCUGCUGAAAGAAUUGCCCUCUAAAGGCCUAAGGAUCUCAGCAACAGGGAAGUGGGAGGAAUCUUCAUGCCAGAGAUAAAGAGCUGGUCCAUGGGCAUGUGUGGGAAGCACUGGGGUAGGGCGAAGAAAUCUAUCUCCUGGGAGGUGUUAUCACUACAUAAAUCCCAGAUUUGAUCAGGCAAUGUAGCCAUCUCACUAUUUCAGGCUGCAGCUGCUAAGACAGGUGUGAAGUGGGCAGACAAACAGGAAGAAGGUCCCAGGUGGAGAACCUGCAUUUGGCUUCUGUACCCCAAUUCCAGUAAUUAACAAAGCAAAAACCUGCCACACUGUGAAUGAUGGCCCUUCCCAACCAGAAUCCUGUUUCUGACAAGUGGUGAAGACACUCUAAAAUGCACCGAGUGUAUGACAAGGACAAUCUUCUGGAUAUUCCCAUUUAAACAGGGAUGGGCCGGAUGCAGUAGCUCAUGCCUGUAAUCCCAACACUUUGGGAGGCUGAGGCAGGAGGACUGCUUGAGGCCAGGAGUUCAAGACCAGCCUGGGCAACAUGGUGAGACCCCUUGUCUCUAUAAAAAACACAAAAAUUAGCCAGGUGUGGUGGCGCGCACCUGUGGUCCCAGCUACUCGGGAGGCUGAGGCAGGAGGAUUGCUUGAACACAGGGGUAGAGGCUGCCAUGUUCGUGCCACUGCACUCCAGCCUGGGUGACAGAGCAUGACCCUGUCUCAAAAAACAAUAAAUAAAAUAAAACAGGGAUGAACUGGAGAAACUGUGAAGGUAUAGGUGCUGUCUUGCUUAGGGGUGGGGAUGAUUUACGGAAGGCUAACACAAGGGCCUUGGUUAGUCUAAAGAUAAUCACGGCAACUAGGUGGUGGUACCAGGAACUAGUCCACCAAAUCCCAACCUGCAGCCAAAAAGUCUCAACUCUCACCUAUAAAGGGAUCCUUCUAAAUUCUCUAGAUGUAUGGAAAUCUUUGACAGGUCUUCUGAAGCCUAGAGUCAUCGUAUAAACAUAGAUAAAUAGUGUAGAUAUUGCAUAGCUAUAGAUUGAUAUGUACAUAUACCAUAUACAUUAGAUAUAUGCUAUAUAUUUACACUUCUUGGCCUUUCGGCUUUAUUAUCUAUCUCCACAAAGUAGGACAAGACAAGCUUGUUUCCCAUUUAAGUUUUUCUAUCUGUACUGUUUUGCAAAUCCACCAGAGAGUUGCAGGACACUCCUGCUACAGAAAGAUUUCUGCCAGGCAGGCUCAGAGACCUGCUCUGUUACUGUUCUAUUUAAUAACACAAACACACAAAUGGGGGCCUUUCUUCCCCAUGACUUUCAUGGCAUGGCUGGGGGCAGAGCUGGGAGGUUUUCACGGCCCAUAUAUCCUCAAACUGCUCCAUUUCCCCCCGAUCUCAGUUGCCACCCCACUAACUCCGGGGUGAUCAGCUCCAUACCACAAUCAUCUCCUGGUGAUAGAGUUCCAUGGAUUUUAAAAGCUGUAAGAAAAACUGAGACAGAUUCAGAAGAGAUUCUAGUAACCCCAAACCAGCAAUUACAAAUAUUUUUUAAGUAUUUAUAUAUACACAUUUUUUUUUGAGACAGAGUCUCACUGUUGCCCAGGCUGGAGGGCAGUGGCACCAUCUCGGCUCACUGCAACCUCCAACUCCCAGGUUCAAACCAAUCUCCUGCCUCAGCCUCCGAGUAGCUGGGAUUACAGGCACCUGCCACCACACUUGGCUGAUUUUUGUAGUUUUAGUAGAGAUGGGGUUUCACCAUCUUGGCCAGGCUAGUUUUGAACUCCUGACCUCGUGAUCCACCCACCUCAGCCUCCCAUAGUGCUGGAAUUACAGGCGUGAGCCACUGUGCCUGGCCUAAUUUUUGUAUUUUUAGUUAGAGACGGGGUUUCACUAUGUUGGCCAGGCUGGUCUCGAACUUCUGACCUCAGGUGAUCUGCCCGCCUUGGCCUCCCAAAGUGCUGGGAUUAAAGGAGUGAGCCACCACACCCAGCCACAAGUUUUAGAUACUUAAAAUACUUUUAAGUAUCUAAAAUUAGCACCUCUCUUUAAACCUUUUACUCACCCUUUCCUGACCCUUUCCUUGUAUCCCCCAUUCCCUUUCGAUUUCUUCACCAUCCCUAUUUGCCUCCUUUUCCUCACUAUCUACCCACCAAGUCCUGCUCUGCUCCCAUCCCACUUAAGAUUUUCGUGUCUAUUCUGUAUCACCCUUAAUGAUCCACUGAGGCUGUGAGCUUCCUGUUUACCCACAAGCGUUCAGCGGAUCCAGCCAUCCUACCAAGGGUUAAAGAUGCUGUAGUCCUACUGUGCUGCCUCCGACCCAGUUCCUUCCAAAACAAAGCAGGAUGACAAGGUGACUCCACGAGAACUGCGUUUGACCUCUGUGUGGGUUUUCUGUUUCCAAGGCCACAGCAGGGUACUCUGAAAACUCUAAACCAGAAGGAAAGGAGACCUAGCCUUCAGAACUCUGUGUGUAUGUGCUUACAGGCAAAAAAAAAAAAAAAAAAAAAAAAAGGAACCAAUGAGGUUGUCAGAAGGGGAUACUCUGCUGUAACUGGUGUUUACCACGACCCACCGGGUGCUGAGGAGGAAGUGGUUGCUAUAACCCCAAGGGGGAAACGCUCGCUUGAAACAGGAAAAUAGAACUCUUACAACUUUCCAUUAGCAGCGUUCAAGAAGCCGGCCACACUGGGAAACACUUGCACAAGCACUCCCCAGAGUCCUGAGACGAGUGUCAAGACAGUCCAAUCACGAAGCACAGAUCAGGACACAGAUACAGGUCCAUGUUUUUUCCAGAACGUCUCAGCACUGGAAAAACUCUCAUGAUCACUUCCCUUACCUCCAGCAGGCUGAACUUGCAAGGAGCUGUGGGGAGGAGGAAGGAAGGGGAAAAUGGCAGGAUGACAUAUUGGAAAGAACGCUGGGCCCAGUGAGGGUCAGAAGACCUGGGCUUUAGUCCCAGUUCUGCGAUUUACUAGUGGUGGAACUUUGGGCAAAUUACCCAACCUUCCUGCUUCUCGAUUUCUACUUCCUCUAUAAAACAGGGAUAUUGUUUACUGCUCUGCUCACAUCCUUGGGCUGCUGUGAGAAUCCUAUGGAAUCCUUCAUAGGAUGAAACUCGUAUGUGCUACGCAAAUGCUUGUUAUCAAUGUAAGAUUCGAGUCUGCAUAAAGCCUUCUUGAGUCCCAGCCUCUUGCUCCUCAAACGCAUCCUCUCGGCUACACUUCCACCUGUGCACUUCCUCAACCCACCUUACUUGUAAUUCUGCCCACACUUCUGUAGAAUUUCUGUAGAAGAUCCCAUAGUCUGGUCAGAGGAGUAUAAGCAAGUCUAAAUAACCAAAGUGGGGGGAUCUCAACCAAAUCAUUUGACUCUGGGCUCUGUGCUCCCACAUUCUCUCCUCUCCAGAGGUGAAGACUUCAUCCUCAAUGGCUAAUUUGCCUGCUUGGAGGCUCAGAUUGGCCCGUGUUCUGAGUCAUAUUUUCCAUUUAGUAAAAUGAACAUCUGGCUGCUGUAUGAUGCCUUUUGUGUACCAUCACCUAAGCCACAAUUACCUGCAAGGUAAUUCAUACCACUACAGCACGGUGCAAAAACAGGGUUGGUUUGGGAUGGUGAAAGUCAGCCAUCUUAGUGUCAAUCUUGCAUGCAAAUUCUAAUGAAGAAAAGCCACUACCAGCAGGUCCACACACACUCACAAAGAACUCAUAAAUUAUUUUAAUCCAAGCGUUCAAAGGGAUCCUGGGUCCCAGGAACCAUCCUGCUGUUUCAUCUCAGUGAGAGGCAAGAUGGUUAAGGAAAAACAGCUCUAGUUUCCUCCAUCCCCCCAAUUCCCCUACCGGUGUGACCUUGACUAGGCCACCCAACCUUCUAAAAACCUUGGCUUCCUCAUCUGCAAAAUAGGGAUAAUAACAAGACAUGCCCUUCCCGGCUCCCAGGGUUAUUAUGGCAACCAAGUGAGAAAACAGAUGUGAAAGUGCUUUGCAAACCACAAAACACCGUCCAAGUGUGAGGUAUUGUUAUCUAGCAAAAGUGCCUUGAGAAUAACACAGAAAUCUGGAAGUAUUUUAAUUCGUUAAUGGACUUAUACCACACCUUGACUUAAAAAGGACGUAGGGUAACUGCCUGGAGGAAUUCUGAAAUAAUUUCUAAAUAAGUUUAUCCAAGCAAGUUGCCAAAACAAUCCACUGAAUUGGGUAGUAGGCUUUUGGAUAAUAGGAAAACUGCAGAUCGCUGUUCUUUAUUCUUAUUUCACCUUUUGAGCUCUAAAAAGAACUGGAAGGACCAUAUUGUGUUGUCUUUUACGCAAGAACUAAACAGUCUCUUUGUACCCUCCACACCCUCCCUAUUCUCACUUCCAUCCCCUGAGCACCUGGGAAGCAGCUCCUUCUCCAAACCUGCAAACCCUCCUCCCAGAGCCCAGGCUAGCUUGGAAGCCUGGAGCAAUUUGAAACGCCGUCCUAAGAUCUUGAGGCCAAAGGCAUCCCCAUCAUCCUUCCAAGAGGGUGUUACCCCCAGGGACAGCAGGAGUUUCCAGAACACACAAAGACUUAUUCUGCUCACAAGGAUAUUUACCGAAUCAGCCCACAAGAAUUUGCCAGGAUCAGGGCAGAAGAACAGAGCUGGGACAGCCUUCUGAUUCACUGCCUGGCAGAUUCACCCUUCUCUAUUAUUAGCAACCCAGGCACGAUGCCACCAGGGCUGGGGAGAGACCUUGGUGUCAGGGUAGAGAAGGCAGGAAGAGGUGUGUGUGCAGAGGGGGAAGUACACAGAGCUGCCUGAGGUUUCCUCCAGAGAGAGACAGCAGAGGGGUGGGUUAAAGCCUUCUCCCCUUCCUCCUUAGUUCUCUAACCUCCUGUGAAUCUCAGACAAGCCCAGCCCCAGGAUCAGAAGCCCUGGAACCCACAUCCACCCUGAAUAUUGCUGGAGGUACUCCCUCUUCCCCUUAAGGGCCCAGCUCAGAGCUGCACAGCACUGCUUCUGCCGGAUACCACUGGACUCUGGGCUGUGCCAGAGGCUGCAAGAUGGAGAAGCAAAGAGAAACUGACGGGAAAGGUGGAGAAUUUCUCUUCCCAUGGCAAAAAUGCAACUUACUGCAGCCCUAAUGCACAUGUGUUCCCUCCUCAUAACAAUGACUACCACUGAAAGAGCACCCAUUACAUACAUCACAGGGCGUUCGCCUCCUGUUAUAGGCAGGAAAACAACCAUGUGGAGGCUCAGCAGGCUGCCCUGGAGAACGUGGCUAAUGCUGAUUGAGAGGGACAGGACUGAAGGAGGAGACGAGGAGCUUCACCUUCAUGCAUCUUGUAUUAUUUCACUUGUACAGGUAUUUCGCGUGCAUUAUUUAACGUGCUAUAUCAAGCUUGUACAGGCAUUACUUGAAUACAUUGAAAACCAUGAAACGAAGGAAUUAAAAAAAAGAAAGACAUGUUGCCAGUCAAUAGUAGAGUCUAGAUUUGGAUAGAUUUGUCCAACUCCAGAAUAUACUCUCUGGCCACACCUCCACAAUUUGUCCAAAUACCAAACCAGGACAUGGACGCUAACAAAGACUAUUUUUCUAAUGUUAUUCAUGUGAAGAAUUUUACAAAAUAACCAAUAACCAAAUAACAUUUGGUUAUUAAAUAUGAUAAAUGUGGCCUAUGGAAAAUAAAACGACACAAAAUGAAAACUGGCUGCCAUGCAAACUUAGGAGAGGGCAAAGGAGCCACAGUGACCCCAGACUUGCUUUCCCUAAAGGGGGAGGAAAAUCAAAUCCCCUGCAGAUGGCUGCAGACCUCAAAUAGAGUGCUGCCACUGAGGGCAGAGGCCGAGCCCCUGGAGCAGGCUGAUUAGUCUAGUCUAGUGGUUAGGAACAUGGUCUCUGGAGCCAGGCUGAGUGUGAAUUCUGGCUCUGUUCUUCAUAGCUGUGACUUCAGGCAAGCUUAUCUGUGCCCCAUUGGUUUCCUCACCUGUGAAAUGAAUUUGGGACACUGUGUAGAUUAAAAUGUAAAGUGUCUAGCACUAAACACUACCUAAGUGUUCAUUAUUAUUAUCAUUAUCAGUCCUGGCCAGAGAGAAAAAGGGAGAAUUAUCUAUUCCAAAAGGAGCCAGGACUGGGAUAAGGCUUUGGUGAGCUUUUUACGUGGUCUUGACAACGGUGUUCAUGAUAGGCUUAUUCUAGGCCGCUCUCUGCUGUCAGGAAGGAGGUUUCCUGUGUGAAGAGAAGGCCUCCCAGGAAGUGACAAUAGAGGUAUCAAUACUCCCAGCAAGAGAACCACAGGCCCAGAGUGGAUGUCAGAAAGAGGGGCAUCUCAGGGAGCACGCCUCUGCGGAGGGCUACUGAUGAGGAAGAGACCACAUGGUUGCCUAGAAGGCAGGCCUGCGGGGAAGCACUGACGCCAGCACUCAGGCUAGGGGAGUCCCUGGGGUCAACUUGUGCAGAGACUGGCGCUCAUAUCCCAAAGAACUGGGUGCCUCUCUAAGAUAGAGCUCCCUGCCUCCCAGUAUCUCUUCCUGCAGGUGUUUUGUUCCAAUGGCUGACAGCGUCUAUUCAGAAUUCUUAAAAAUGUCACUUUGUUUCCAUCUGUAAAAAGGAAUUAAAAUGUACCAAAAUUCCAAAGAAAAUUGCCCCUUUUCAGAUGUGGCUCCCUGUCUCCCCUCUUCCCUUUUCUGCUUUUGAUCUUAUUUAAAAUCUCUGACCUAAAAGUGAACUCUGAUAUUCCAUGCUCCUGGAGUUUUGGGAGGACCCUGACUUCAGAAGCAGAACUCUUUGAGUUCUUCUGGUUCCAGCUCUGCAGCUAAUUUGGAAACCCCAAGAAAGUUGUGUCACUUCUGUCUCAGUCCAGAAAGUGGAAAGAUUAACCACAUAAACUCAAAAAUACUAUCUGGCUCUGAAAUGCUGUGUUCUUGGGAUAGUCUCAAAAAAGCUGAGUUGUGGGGACUAACCUAAGUCGAUAUUCUACCUCCCUUUUGAACUGAUGUUGAAAGAAGAAAGACGAUAAAAGAAGGUUUUCCUCAUCAGUCAUUCAAGACUAUACUUAAAAUUACAUUUUGCAGAAAUAAAAGCAGUAUUUUUAAUGUUAGGAAAAAGUCUAAAAGGGUGACUACGGGUGAUUUUCAUUUCUUUAUAGUUUUCUGUAUUUAUCCAAUGAUCUGUAAUGGACAUGUCACAGUUUAAAACUCAACUUAAAGGUUAUUGCUCUAAAUUCGAUUUUGCUGGGGAGAAGGUUAGGAGUCUGGCUUCUGAAAGCGUCCUUUUCACCAGUGAAACUGCCCUCACUCCCAACCCUGCAGCAAACCCGGGAAGAGUUAAAGCGCAGGCCAGGCGGAGAGGGCAGGGAGAAAAGGGAACUGCAAAAAGCCUCAACACCCAGUAGAUUUCCUACUGCUGCUGACACUUUGGCCCAGCGUCUGCGCCUCCGACCAGCUUACGGAACCAACCACACCUCGAUCCUAACACAUCACCUGUGAGAGCAGGGUCAACUCUCCAGCGGCCUCAGAUGGCCUCAAACUAAGCUUGGGGAGGGGUUUUCAACCCUGAAAGCCCAGAACUGAGCCUCCAGGCAGCGCAGCGCCCGCGACCACGUGAGCACGGACCCACCUCCCCAGCCUUUCCAUGACGUGACUGCUGGGGCGGGGAUGGGGCGGGGCACACCCAGCUGCCCAAAUCAGCAUGACCCCAAAAGAGCAAGCGAGUUCCUGAAAUUCCUUGAGGUUUGAAAGACAGCUUAGAGAUCCUAAGUCCCUUUUGGCAGAGAGGGGGGAGGUAGGGAAGCCUGAGGGCAUCCCAGAACCAGCAGGAGGCACAGAAAUGUGUCAGCUCUUUCCCCAAGAGAGGAGGCAAUGCUGAAUGUGUUAGGUAGGGUCCUUUUCCGGGACCAGCUGGUGAACCGAUGUGAAGAGUCGGCUCUAAUGAUUACUUGUAUUAAGUUAUCCACGAUUCUUAUGAAAAAGGAAAGCAAAUAUCCCACAGUACAAGAAGGAAAGAAAAGGGGGCCCCAGGCUUUUCAGCAAGGGCGUUUGGAAAGAGAUGGAUAUUGAUGAUAGGGACUUUUCAGAGACCAGGCUCAGCCCAGUUGGGAUGCAACUCAGGAAAGUCAGAUCGAGGGAACUAAACCAAGGUACUGUUGGCCAAGAGACAUUUUAAACGCUUUUUCUCACCAGGAUUCAUAAAGCCCUUUUGCCUUGAAGCCCAUAGGGCACAGGAGAGCUACCCUGUCCCUGGGACAAACGGGAAAAUGUUCAGCCCCAUCCUGGGUGAAUGCAAGACCUCUGCCACCCCCAACACACACACCCUGUGACUACCCUAAGUGGAUGUGUUCUUUCACGUUGCUAAGAAAAAGUCCGCAGCUAUGAAGUGGUCAGCCUCUGAGGUCCAGUCAUUGCCCUGACAAGACUUUGAGAUGCAUGCUCUCUGAAACUCCCCUCCCCUCACCUGGCAAAAAUUAUUCAUGCCAUCCUUGAUAGCCUUUCAGCUGAGCGCCUUGGUCAGAAAACUAACCACCUGCCUCUUCUCACCAUGUCAAACCCAGUCGUCUGGUGAGAAGACCUAACGUGGGGUGCUUCUCAGUCCACAGACAGUGUUGCUGGUUCCGAGGCCAGAUUGUUCCUUUCUUCCUAGCCUGUGAAUAACACUCCCACCUAGAACCAGCCCUUUUGCUCUUAAGGGGUUACACUUCAUUUCCCUUUGAUUUAGCCAGAAAGUUUACCAUUGCAGACACCUCCAUCUGUAAAAUUGGGCAGAGAAGGCAGGGAAAGCAAUUAAUAUGUGUUGAGUGUGUUCUCUGAGCCUACCAUUAUGCAAGACAGCUUGUGUGUCCAUUCUCUAAGUUGGUCUUCACAACCACCCUGGCAAGGGCACAGAGUUGGUAAGUGCAGAAAAUUUGAUAAAUCCAGAGCCCAAAUCUAACCCAGGAUUUCCCUAUGCCAGGCUGCUUUCCUGCAAUCGCCUGGGGCAUACAGAAAAAUACCUAUAUUGAGGUAAAAGGUUUGAUUUAAAAAUUAAAUAUAAACAUUUUCUUUUAAAGCCCAAUUUGCAUAUUUUUGCAUUGUGCAGAUUUGGAUCUGUGCUUCAUCCUCUCCCACCUGCAACAACAUUUAAAUGCCUCAGCCUGGGCACUAAAAAAGGGAGCAAAUGCAGGUCUACUAGCUGGCCAUGUUUUUGGCAACCCUGCAAAACAAAAUUUCCAACUCUCCAGAUGAUACCCCUGCCUCCUCCAAAACAAAUGCCUGUACUCCAGCAUCUGUCACUCAGGAGUCCAAGCUGGGAGUUCAGACGCUGCUUAUAAGCUCAUAGGCUGAAUGAGGGCAUUACAUAAAAAGGCUCAGAGCUAUGUGGAAGCAGUGUAGAAGCAAUGUCAGCAGUCCACCUAAAGGCCUGGCUGAAGAAUUUCUCAGCCUCCUAAAGGAUCCCCAGGCAGCUGCCACCAUCUCAUCUCCAGUAGUCAAAGGACCACCACUAGCUGAAGGCUGGGAGGGCAAUGCAGUGGUCCUUGACCUUGGCUGCACAUCAGUUAUCACCUGGGAGUUUUACAACCAUUGUUGCCUGGGUCCCCCCCCGCCCCGAGAUUCUGGCUUAGUUGGUGUGGAGUGUAGUCUAGCACAGGGAUUUAUUUGUUAAGCUCCCACAUGUUUCCAAAGUGCAGUCUUGGCAAGAACCACUGGACACCAUUGGUCAAAGUGGCCCAAAAGAGCUAGGAAAAUAUAAAUAACAUUCAGCAGGUCAUUCAGGGUUCUUGAGAACAGAGAAUGACCGAAGGGACUUCUGUGUACUGGCAGUGCAAGGCAAGGUAGCAACAUAGAGCAAAGGGUUUGGAGCAAAGCAAGCAGAAAUUUGAGUCCUAGCUCCAGCAUUUUGCCCACCAUGUGACCUGGGUAAAGCCACUCAUUCAUUCUGAGCCUUAGUUUCCUCACCUGUAAAAUGAGGCUGCUUCCCUUGCUGGACUGUGCUAGGAAUUAGCUGCACUAGGGCAUUGCCUGGCACAUACAAGGUCUUCCAUAAGUGACACUUAUGAUUGUUAAUAAACAAAUUACACCUGGGAUUGACUGGUGUUUGGUAUGAAGAGAGGCUGUGGGCUGACAGUACCCUUCAGAGGGGACCCCUUUAGUGAAUGAGAUUCAGACUUCCUUGGGGAGGAGCUGUGGAAGAUAAAAGAAGCUGAAAGUGGUAUAGGAGACAGGCAGGGCAGCCACUCCAGCAUCUGGGGCACCUCCAGCCUUUGUUCUCCAUCUCUAGUCCCUUUUUCUCUGCAAGUUGAGCCUCAGGAGGAGGUGUAUAUUUACAGGGAGAGUCUAGCUGUAUUUGGCCACGUUCUACCUACCAAAGUGGGUAGCAAUCAGACUGGAUUGUGUCACCCUGGAUUGUGUCAUCCGAAGCAGCUCUGCCCAAGACAGGUCUGUCUGCCCACAGACUCACACCUGCCUUUUCCCUCCUACUUUACACCAUGAUGCUCUGAGGGAAGCCAGGCCCUAGAGGGGCAGCCAGCACUGCAACCUGUCACUGUGCUGUCCACGCUUGCAUAAACCUGGGUGGAAGACACAGACCCUGGGAAUGUGUGACAACUGUCCCAAGGCAGAGAGGGCUGGGGAAUCCCAACUCUGCAACACCUCCCCCUUCGUGCUUUGAGCAGCCCAGCAUAAAGGAACCCACUGCCUACAUGAUUCUUUCUCCUUUUCCUUUUCUCUCCUUUCUCCCCUAACACCUGUAGAGUUGAUGGAGCUCUUUCUCAUCCAUUAUUUCUUAUGAUGUUCAAAACAGCCCUGUGAGGCAGCUGACUGCAGGAACUAAGAUGACCUGGAUUCAUCGGUAAGAAAACAGAGGCUCAGGCAGAUGCCAUGACUUGCUCCCAGUCACAGAACUCAUCAGAAACAGGAUUUGAACCCAUGUAUAUGUACCAAGAACCCAUUCUUCUCCACCAUGCUAUGCCCCAUGACCGCCUACCCAUGUCAAAGGCCCUCCUGCUUGCUGUGUAGUAUAAGACAUCUGUGAAGUGGAGACGGUGGCGGGGGAAGGGGAGUGUAGACAUGCAACUAAUCUAAGCUCUAGCUGAACUCAGAGUCCCCCCGACUUGAUGCUCCAUUCUAAAACUGAGUUUGAGCAACACAUCAUUCCCUCUUUUCUAUGCCUCUCUCCUUUCUUCAUCUGAGAAAAUGGCAAAGCCAGCUACCCAAGGACAGGCUGGAGGAGGACUCAAAAUCAACCACCAAACAUCUUACAACAUCUGUGCCUCAGAACACAGCUUUCAUCUUACCAAACUUCACUUUAAAGAAAUGAAGGUACCACAAGGUACCUUCAUUACAAAGAGAUUUUGUUCAAUUGCUGGGCCAAAGUGGGAAAUAUUAAAUUCCAGUCAAAGAAGGUAUGGAUAUCCUGCUAAUUCCCUGAGGCAUGUUCCAUACUGACAAACCAUCUGACUUUCUGAGUGUCAGGGAAAUUUCCAAUCCAAAGAGUAAAUGAACUUCCGUGAGUAGAAAAAUAGCCUCUUCACAGCACCCGAUUCUCUCCCACCAAGAAUUCUCUCUCACCUUUCGCAUGCAGUACUGACGUUGGGGCCAUUAGGAACAAAACGAAGGGGAAGGAAAUGGCACCAGUCCAGGUGUUACCAGACGGAUAUGUGAAAGCAAGUGUAGAAUCACCCCCAAGAAACUCAAAGUAGGAGAAGCACUUGCUCAUCUGUUACCAGAUACUCACUGUCCAGCUGGCCAGCCUAGUGCAUGCUUCCAGAAGGAGACCAGCACCAGCCAGGGAGCAGAGCAGUCAACCUGUGCACCCCACCAUCCUCCCUCGAAAGCCUGCAUGGAAGGCCUGCAUUUGGAUUCACAGAGCAGCCAUUCUUUCAAUGAGCAUAGCAGAGCAGGAUAGAGCAACACUUUUUUUUUCUUUAACCAGGGAAGGGGACCCACAGAGGCAGUACAUACAAACCUGAAAUCAGACUUGUUCUAGAACUGGGGUCUCUUAAAAGCCCUUCUUCUCAGGCACAGGGUCCUUUCCACAAUAGAGAACACUGGUGAACCAGCUCUGGGAAAGGUCAGCUACCGAAAUGCAGAUGAUUGCAUGCAAAGAUCUCAGGCCUUGUGCUUUUCAAAUGAUAUCCUCAUAUGUUCUUUCAUUUGCUCUGCAUGGAGACUCCAGAAGGUUAAGCAGUCACUCAUAUAUAACUUACAGGUAACAAAACCCAAGUACAGAGGGCCCCAAAGACGUCCCUAGAGGCACACAGGUGGGACCAGAGUCCAGAUCUGCCAAGGCCACUGAGCUGCUCUGCCCAUCAUGGAGGGCCCCUGCCUGCCUCCAGCGCUCCACCGUUCACACCCCUGGGUCAACAUUCCCAGGGUGGCAGAUGCUGAACCCACAAUCAGCCAACUCACAGGUCCUACAUGGGGAGAGUGGAAUGGGGUCAGGAAAAACCAUUGCUUUCCUUUUCCCUUUGAAUGCCUGAGUAGACAUUUAAGCCAAGCUGGGGAAUGAAGGAGUUGGCCUCUGCCCCAAGAGGGAAACAGCCCUUCAACGGGAACAACACAGUAAGAGAUUCAUCCAAGAGUCCCUGUCUUCAGAGCUACCUCCCUACACCUCCAUCUGCGGACGCCCCUUUCAAAACUCAACCUGUCCUCUUGCCAUCCACAGGAUGUUUUAAUUUCCUUAGAAUGUGGCACUUCAAAAUUCAGCUCGUGCUGAGCUCAGUGUUCAGCACCCUGGCUCCACGCAUGCCCGCUCUGCCCCACCCCUGCCCCUAAGUCCUGGCGACAUUGACCCACUCACCAUUUCCCGGUCCCGCCACAUUCUCUCGGGUUUCCUGGCCAUUGCUCACGUGGACCUUCAACUUGGAAUCAUCUUUCCCUCCCUGUCCAGCCACUGAAGUCCAACUCAACAGUAAAGAUGUUAUUGACUGUCCCCUCUCCCACAGAGCCUCCACAGAUGAGCUCUGGGCCUCCCAGCAGGCUCCAGGGCAGUAGCUGUUCUUCCCUGUCUGCACCCACACGGCAUGACCCUGCCCUCACAGGCCUCCCUGCAGCCUCUACCCAACGACUCUGUGAUCUGACUGCAUGUCUCUGUGACCAGUGACACCUCCACGUCCUCAAGGGCAGGCACCAGGGCUUGCUGGGCUGGAAUGUUCAGCAUGUAACAGGUGUUUAGUUCAUUGUUUAUAAAAUGGACACAUGAGUUAACUAAUUAAAAGCUCCACAACAUUGUACAAGGAAAAAAAAUUCCACUUUCUCAUCCAUGAAGCUCUGGAGCUGGGGAAAUGAAGCGGCUGGCUGCUGGGUGCCGCGGUGAGCUGUGGGGCAGCACGAGGAAGGUUCUGAGCCAAUGAAUGUGAUGCAAGACAAGAAACUGAGGAUGGGGGAGGAAACGAGAAAGAGUGAGGGAGAAGAGGAGGGGGAUGAUGAAGAUUCCAACCUGAGACAUUAUUGCAGAAAGCAACCCCAGGUUAACAAGGCAAGUUGCUAAAGGAAAGGGAAUGGCAGAUAAAGCGACCCCCCGCCCUAAAAGGCUUACCAGGGCACUUCAGCAGAACCCAAGGGAAAGCCAUGUGGGCCAGCAGGCUUCCGAACCAGUUCUGUCUGCUCUAAUGAGGCCAUGGGGGUGGAUGGGCAGGGGGCAAAUCACAGAAGCAUCUGCUCUUGAAUCAACAGUGAGGCUCUGGCUGGCUGAAGAAUGUCUCCAACUCCCUAGUCACCCAGUGGGCCUAAUUUCAUUCCUGGACAUGUCUAGUAUAGAUUGAAAGGGAAGCCAUAGUCAGUUUCAAAAAGAAGUGGAAAAGUUCCCUGGGGUUCACUGAGAUACCAUUAUUAGAUUGGGGUUCCCAGGAGCAUUUCUUGUUAAGUGUCAAGUCCAGAGUUUGACCUUUGGGGAAAUGGGGGAAAUUCAAAAGGAUCAAAGCCCCCAAACUCCCUUUAGCUCAGUGGGAAAAACCCAAAGCUCCUGCCCUGCCUCUGUGCAUCCUCUGGGGCCCUGAAACUGCGUCAGCGUGCGGUGUAACGUGCCCUCCAUCCCAGCACAGACAUAACACAACGUAAAACUCAUUAAAGACCAGAGGACUCUGUACCUAUCUGGCACUAAAAGGAGAUCUCCUGCCACAUGUCUCCCAUCUGGAUUCUUUCAUGAAAGAUCAUGUGUAGCUGUGCACAAUGUCGAAAAAGGACAUCCCAAAGGGUUUAGGUGUGUGUCCGUUUUUCCUAAGGCUUGUCCUGGGGUGCCAAGUGUGCACAUGCCACUGUGCCCUGGGGGCCACAUAUGGCUGACUUAUCUGGCAAUGGGAGGGGACAGAGCAGAACUGGAGGUAGAGAAAAACGUGCAGGGAGAGUGAGUUAUUGCCAAGAGGAUUUGACUGUGCUGUGACAACAGAAGUCCCCUGGGUCUUCAAGCCUCAGGCUGGGAUGCUAUAAUCUGGAACCUCCAGGGAGUAACAUCACCAGGUGCUGGCAGGGACUAACGUCCUGCCUCACUGAUGUGGCACAAGUCAUUUGCUGCCUUGGGUCUCUAGUACUGUAUAUUUGUAGUCAGUGAGCAAAAAGGAAUAUUUAAAAAAGGAAUCUUUCUAUAGCGUCAUUUACACUUGGGCCAAAAUAAGAUCAGAGUGGAACAAAAUAAAAUCUGGUCAAGAAGAGAAGGCAGAAAUAGUGCAGAAUGCUGCCAAAUAUUUCCACCAUGAGAUAUAGAACCGUAAGUUAUUCAUAAGAGAGCUCUUCAGAGUCAUGAGUCUAUGGCUUCCAUCCUCGGGAUGAAAACAAAAAUCUCACCCACUGUCCACAGUGAAACAACCAAAAGUGGGCCUUAAAGGGGAACACUAGGGUUUGGAGUCUUCUGUGCCAUCUGCCCUCCCACAUCACACCCUGAUCCCUUGUUUCCAGCCUCCAGCUCAGAGGCCAACAUAGGAACAGCCUCUACCCUCUGUCCCUGGAACAGCUUUUUCCACUGAGACCAAGGGUGCUGCCCGCUGUAAAGGAACAUGAAUGAGCUCAGAAACCACAUCUGCUUUUGCACUUGUCAACUUGAGGCUGGCAAAACUGAGGGGUUCCAUGAAACUGCAGCCCCAGCAGUUCCAGCACUGUAGGGAGCACUUACCUAGAGACACAGUGCCCUCCUGCCCUCCUGUGGCCUUGCUUGGCACAGAGGGGCCACACAGAUACCAACUGUGGGAAGGAUCUCUAGCUGGGCAGCAUCGCCAUUGCUCCUCAUUGUCCAGGGGCCUUUUGUGUGUGGCUCUCUACUCAAGACCAUAGGGAUGGAGGUAAAAAGAUUAAAAAGAUACUGCUUCCGAGUUUCCUCAAGGAGCUCACCAACUUCCCCAGGUGUCUGGGGAGGAGGAAAGAGCAGCUCCUACAACCUCAAGAGUCUUUGCCAGGACCAGCCAAGGGAGUGUCUGUAACAACUAUUUUUAAAAAGAAACCAGGAUAAAGCUCCCAAUUGCCCUACGUUUUCCUUAGGAGAAAUACACCCAAAGUAGAAGCCAUACCAAGUCUCAGGCCCAAGCCUCUGGCAAGAAAAAACAAAUGGGCUUAGCACUUCUGAUAGGGUUCACACUUCUGAUAGGGUUCAGCAAUGAUUAAGCCCCUAUGAAAUGGCAAAUAGUGACAUUAUCAUACAAGAGAUCCCUGCAGCCCUGGAGGGUUCCAGAAAAGAGCAUAGCCUUUUAAACUGCAGCUGCCUAUAUAUGGCAGGUACCAUGCUGGCACUGGAAAUGCAAAGACGAAUUAGACAACAUCCCUUGGGGAGCUGUUUUGCAGAGCUGUUCCGGGAAACUCAGAAUGUAACCACCCCCACUCCUGACCGCCCCCCAUCAGGAUUGUCUCGUGUGUUCAGGGUCCCACAGAACCCAAGCCAAGAGUCACCCCCACUCUGUAUCUUUGGCAUUAGAUAGUAAUGAGGGCCAAGAGGAGAGGACAGAAAAGGAGGUCUUCCAUCUGCAAAGCAACUCUUGACAGCAGCAGCCCAGCUGCUCGGGGCCACUGCCCAAAAUGCUAAUGAAGCCAGUCACAAUUAGCAGGCUACUCAGGGGCUGCCCAGACCACAGAGCUGCUGCCACAGUCAGCUGUGCCAGAGCAGCCUGCCGGGUCCCAGGCAGAGCUUUUAUGCUAGCACUUUCUCCUUCCCCUUUCACCUGGCAUUUGGAAUCCACCAACAAUCUUUGUACCCUUCUCUCUGCCUGACCCACAAAACCACCCAAGGACGCUGGUAUGACUCUCACUGAUAAAGUCAAAGACAGAUGGGUAGGGAUAGGGAUGGGAAUUGGGAGAAGGGUCCAGAAAAAAUGAUUUGGACUCUUUUUGCUCCCAUUACCAACCACUCCAUUUUCCCCCCCAACAAACAAGUGCUUCCCCACUUUACUGACAUCUGGAUUCCACUGGCUAGUUCCACUAGCUUGGGAGCAAGUUUGCUCUCCGACCUCUUUAGAGUAUUCAGCAGAUGGUGAUCAACACAGCCCUCUCCAAGGAGAGACGUUUAGCUUUAUGAAAAUUCCUAAAGAAAGCCACUGGGAUAUGUUUUCGUGCCAAGACAUCUGACAACUGGCCUAUUUUUAAAGUUCCAACCAAUAAUCUCUCAAAAGCACUCUACCCACAGACAAAGGGGCAAUGACGAAAAAAGUAAUGAGGCCAGUAUUAUGUUUUUGUUUUUCAAACAAUCCAGAAUUUACCCAUCCAAAUAAAUAAUAUUCUCUUCAAAGCCUACCCCCUUAGAAAGCUCUGUGCUGAUUCCACUGGGGCUGUGUUUUCUCAGAACAUUUUUGGAAAGUCCUAUUGUGGAGCAGCCUUUGUUUCCCAGAGAGUGUCCAGGAUAAAGUUAAUAAGCAUCCAACCAGCAGCCGCUGCUGCGGGCCAGGUACUGUGGUAGGCCCAGGGAAGGGGAAUCCUAUAGGUAAAUACAACAAGGUGUCUCCCUGGCAAGAUGCUCACUAUCCGGGUGGAGAAAGGAGGAGAAGGUUUUUGUGGGUUUUUUUCCUUUGUCGGAAGGUUUUAUUUGUGUGUGUGUGUGUGUGUGUGUGUGUGUGUGUGUGUGUGUGUGCAUGCAUAUGUGUUUGUGUACUUUUAAGUUCAGAGGUACAUGUACAGGUCACAUAGGUAAACUUUUGUCAUGGGGGUUUGUUUUACAGAUUAUUUCAUCACCCAUGUAUUAAGCCUAGUACCCAUUAGUUAUUUCCCCUGAUCCUCUCUCUCCUCCUACCCUCUACCCUUCAAAAGGCCCCAGUAUCUGUUGUUCCCCUCUAUGUGUCCAUGUGUUCUCAUCAUUUAGCUCCCACUUAUAAUAACAUGCAGUAUUUGGUUUUCGGUUCCUGUGUUGGUUUGCUGAGGAGAAUGGCCUCCAGCUCCAACCAUGUUCCUGCAAAGGACAUGAUCUCAUUCCUUUCUAUGGCUGCGUAGUGUUCAAUGGUGUAUAUGUACCACAUUUUCUUUAUCCAGUCUACCACUGAUGGGCAUUUGGGUUGAUUCCAUGUCUUUGCCAUUAUGGAACAGUGCUGCAAUGAACAUAAACAUGCAUGUGUCUUUAUAAUAAAAUGAUUUAUAUUCUUUUGGGUAUAUACCCAGUAGUGAGAUUGCUGGAUUGAAUGGUAUUUCUGUCUUUAGGUCUUUGAGGAAUCGCCACAGUCUUCCAUAGUGGUUGAACUAAUUUACACUCACACCAACAGUGUAUAAGCGUUUCUUUAAGGAAGAGAAGGUGUUUUGAAUACAUACCAUCAGCCAGGCACCGGGCAACAGCUUUUGACAUGUUACAUUUAAUAUGGAUCCCAAAAUCCUCUUAGAUGUAGACAACCAGGCUCAGAAAAGUUAAAGUGACCUAGCCAAAGUCACACAACAAAGAAAUUCUGAGACUGGUCCUGAUCUGGGGCUGUCAGGCUCCCAAACUGGUCCUCUCAUCCCCACAGCAGCCUGCAGUAAACACACUCUCCAGGACAGGAGGCUGAGGCAGGAUAACUCACUCCUCCUACGUCAAGCACUCACCUCCUGUUUACCCUUUCAUCAAGAGGCUCUGACAAGCCAGUGGGCAGGGAGAGUUUCUUCAGAUAUAAAACAGGACUUUUCAUAACCCUAGUAUUUACGUCAACUGAGAAGGACAGACACUCAGACACAGUCGCACACACUUCACUCACACACAGGACCGUCAAUUCAACGUGUCCACCUACCUCACAAGCAGGCAGGGAAAUCAGGCCUGCAUCUCAACACGUCAAAACUAGUUUCCUGCAAUAGCCAAAAGGUGGAAGCAAGCCAAGUGCCAUCGGCAGAUGACUGGAUAAACAAAAUGUGAUAUAGACACACAAUGGAUUAUCAUUCAGCCUUAAAAGGGAAGGAAAUUCUGACACAUGCUACAACAGGGAUGACCCUUGAGCACAUUAUGCUCCAUGAAAUAAGCCAGACACAAAAGGACAAACGCUGUAUGACUCCACUUAUCCCAAGUACCGAAAAUAGGCAAAUUCACAAAGACAGAAAAGUAGAUUAAUGGUUGUAGGGGCCUAGGAGAGAGGGGAGAGGGAUUAUUUAAUGGGUAGUUUCAGUUUGAGAAAAUGAAAAAGUUCUAGAGAUGGAUGGUGGUGAUGGCUGCGUGACAGUGUGAAUGGAUGUAAUGCCACUAAACUGUGCACUUAAAAUGGUUAAAAUGGUGAAUUUUAUGUUAUGUACACUUUGCCACAUUUAAAAAAAAAAAAACCUCUGUUUUUUCUCUUUGGAAAUAUGGAUGUAUAAUCUCUUCCUCAAACAAACUCUGGGCACAUGCAUAUGACCAGUGUCUUCUAUUCUCUUCCCAGCCUCAGCCCAUGAGGCUUCAGAUGACAGAGGCAGGAGCCGUGCUGGGGUGGGGCCUGGCUGGGGGGACUCUGCAUGCACAGUAAGCAAGCAUUCUAAAAUCGGCCCCAGAAAAUCCCCCAAAUGCAGCACAGAACGCCUUAGACUGGCCUGAGUCAACAGCAGGAAGGGGAGGGCCCACAAUGAGCAGCCGCAUCCCCUCCCCUGAAAUUUGCAAAACAGUAUUUUGGCUGGUGCAUUUGGCCCAAUAUAGAGCAGAGCAAAACAUUUUUAUGGAGGAACAAUGAAAAGAGACUGCUAGUCCUAAGACUGAGGUCUUUAGGAAAACUUCAUUCUCUGACCCAUUUCAACUUUCCCUAAUAAAUAACAAUGCUGUAAUGCCAAGCAGUCUAUCAUGCCACCUUAGCAGCUGUGCUCUGCUCCCAAAUGUUCUGUUUAUGUCUCCCCAUCAUGUCAUUGUGAUGGAUUCAAUUUUAAACUACCCCAAGCUAAUAGCAAAUCCCCCAGAGCUCUGGAAGCAGCUCUGUGUUGCGUGGGCCCUGAUCAUGAAGGUGGAUUCAGUGGUCACCCAGGGCCCACCUGGAGUCUGUAGCACUCUUUUUCCUCUGGGCUCCCAGGUACCUGCUGAACCCCAAAUGGGUGCCUACAAAGGUCCAGUGAGGAAAAGUUAAGAGCCCCAGAAAAAACAAAGAUAAAACGCCUGGGAGGGAAUCAGUAUUUAUCAAGGGCCUACUACAUGCAAGAGCCUUCAAAACCCUGUAACUUUCAAGUUUUAUACAUGAGGAAAUGGAAGAAAUUCAGCAAUAUGUCCAAGGAGCAGAGCUAGGAUUCAACUCUAAGUCAUCUGACUCUAAAGCUUACACUCUUUCCAUUACACUAGGCUGCCUCUCAAAAUCAUGUGGGUUUUUUUUUUCCCCUGGUUCUUGUUUUUUAUAAUCCUGCUUGCCUGGCUUCUAAACUUCUCCAGCUUUUCCAUAGGCCCUAGCCCAACCCAACUUUCCAUUUGGGUAAAAGGAAGAUCAUCCCAGCUGCUGUGUCCCAAGUCACAUGAAAUGGCGGGAAGACAUUUCAUAAACACAAGUUCAAAAGCCCCUUUAAAUAGAUAGGAAAGUGGAAAUUAUUUUUAAGGGGGUAAACUUCUAAAGAAAGCAUUCCCAUUCUGCAGCCCUGGACUUCUUAACAUAAACCACCAGGUCCAAUUCUCACCCUACACUGCCACAGAACAGCUGACGCUAAACUUGGGCUCCAAAGCCUCUGUCUUCCUCCAGAGAGCCUGGCAGUCUGUGUAAUAAGUGUGCUGGCUAUUUCUGAGCCGGCCACUAAAAGGGAAAGCCACCCCCAAAUCACCACUCAGCUUAGUCCCAAGAAUGAGAGCUGAAGGUAGCAUGUCACGCAGGGGAUUUAUUCUUCAAAUGUAGAAUUGUUAGUGCUCAAAAUAUAAAUACUCAGGUUUGAAGAACAUACCAACUUCUUUAAAAAAAGAAAAGGGUAAAAAACUCCCCCAUGCAACUGUGAAUAUACUCUCAUUUCUCCUCCUCCUCCUUUCCUGACAAGAGCCAACAAUCAGCAGACAACAAAAUCUCAACAUCUGGCUCCUAAGUCCACAGCUUUCAGCUUUUUCCUGGGCCUGGGAACUUUUGCCUCAAACAAAUCCCUGAUGAGCUGCUUCAAGUGUGAUGGUAAUAAGGUUCGGCUGCUCAGGGAGCAAGGCAGGCAUGUGAGCCGUGGCUUGGGUGCUCUGUCCUCCAGGGUGGUCCAGAAGCCCUUGAAGGUAGCACAUUACAAGAGCCACUUCUGGUCAACUUCGGUGAGCAGACAGCACCCAGCUCUGCUUUCUCAGGAGCAGGACUGCAGUUUCUGUUGGGAAUAGUGACAGCCAAAAACUCAGAAGCAGAACACACAAGACACUGAGCUGAGAUCUCUUCGGGCUUCUGGAAGCAGUCAGACCCUCCACCAUGCCCUUCCUUUCCCUAGCUGGUCUAAACUGCUGUCGAGCGAUGAUGGGCAGCUCUUUGCACACAGAUAUUAGGAAAACCCCUGCCUAAGAGUCACUGCUUUAGAAUUUAAUUUCUAGACUUUAGAACCACUUCCUACUGGGUCCGUAGAGAUCACUGCCUGUCCCCCUACUGACAUGUUUUAUUGUAAGCAAUCUAAUUUAUGGUGUGCUCAGUAUAUUCUUCAUAUACCCAGACACAUACAACUGAAAACAAAAGUUUCACACAACAGUACUUACCAUUGCUUUGUGCAAUGAAUGCUGUUAUUUUCUAUUCUACUCUAUCAUAUUCUAUUUUAUUAAAAUCUAUUGGUUGUAACCAUCUAAAUUGAUCCCCAUUUGAAGAUCACAAUCUGUAGUUUUAAAACUGCUGUGGUCAUAGGAGCCAGUCCCACGUUUUUGAAUUAAAGGCCUGUGCUGACACCAUGGGUCAGAGGGAAGGUGAUUUGUACCUUAUUCCCCUUUCCUGGAUAACUCAAGUUUACUCAAAAAGCUCCACAUCAACACUUUUAAAAGAGAAUUCAAAUGAUCCAUGCGGCCCUACCCACAAUGGGUUCUCACAGCACACCUUGUCUUCAAGGAUAGCUCUGAAAGAACUCAACUCUGCAUUCACAGAACCAUUGCUAAUAACCUUUAAGAGGUGUCAGAGGACUAAAGAUGGGUAACUAUUUGCCUAACAUUUUGCCAAAUUGGAUUCUGGAAGCUUCAGACUGGCAAACAUAGGGCUGGAUUACCUAACAAGUGAUUUGUGAGCAUUUACAGGGAAAGAUAGAAAUCACUAAAAAUAUACAUGUGUUCAUUAAGAAAAAGUUUCAACAAACCAAUCUCAUUUCUUCUUUUGAUGCAGGAUACAAAAUCAGGAAGAAUGCCAUAAAGAAUGUGUUCAGAUUUCACCAAGGUGCAUGAAAAGACAGAAAAAGAAAAAUCUGUGUCAAAGUAUGGUUGAACAGUUUUGAAGCUGUUAGAACAACUAUACCCCUAGAGGCUACUGAUAACAGACCCUUAAGAACAUUGGAAAUUGCUUUUAUUAGGACCCUAGAAGGUUCUUUUCUGAGACUGAUCCUAGUCAACCUUUCUAUCUAUGACUUCUUUAAUUAGUGACAGCAACAUUACCAAUUGGUAUGGCGUGUCCUCAAUAACAACUGAUCAACUGAUGAACUGGGUACCCACAGAGCACUUUGCAGUUUUAUCAGGUACUUUUACACAUCUUAUCUCAUUUGAGCCUCCAAGUCAAGGAGCUAGGUAUUAUUAUAUUCAUUUCAUAGUAAAGAAACUCAGGCUUAGCCAUCAGUGUUUCUCAACCUCAGCAAUAUGAACAUUUUGAACUGGGUAAUUCUCUGCUGUCCUGUGCACUGGAGGAUGUCGGCAGCAUCCUGGCCUCUACCCACUAUGUGCCAGGAGCAGUACCACCCUUACAGUUGUGACAACCAAAAAUGUCUCCAGACAUUGUCAAACAUCCCCUAAUGGCCAAAAUCACUCCUGUUGAAAACCACUGGGUAAAUCAAACUUUGAUCUGGCUUGAUCAAGGUCCACAGUUAAAAAGUUAACCAGGGCAGUAUUUGAAUUUAGGUCUCCUCAUUCUUCCAACUCUUUCAAAAAGCUGGAAGGUAUUGGGCACCGUGGCUCACGCCUGUAAUCCCAGCACUCUGGGAAGCCAAGGUGGGUGGAUCACCUGGGGUCAGGAGUUUGAGACCAGCCUGGGCAACAUGGUGAAACCCCAUCUCCACCAAAAAUACAAAAAUUAGCCGGGUGUGGUGAUGCACGCCUGUAGUCUCAGCUACUCAGAAGGCUGAGGCAAGAGAAUUGCUUGAACCCGGGAGGCGGAGGUUGUAGUGAGCUGAGAUUGUGCCACUGCACUCCAGCCUGGGAGACAGAGGGAGACUCUGUCUCAAUAAAUAAGUAAAUAAAUAAAUAAAUAAAUGAAAGCUGGGAGGGAUAAUGAACAGGAUAAAUUACAAAAAUCAAGAGUCAAAAUUAUCUUGAUUGACAUUCUAGGCCAAAACCAAUAAUAAAAGACUGAAGGUCCAUAUUUUGGUUUUAAAUAAAUCAAUUGUGCAAAGUGAGACUGGCACUCAUGGCAUUUUAUGGCAGUUAAUGUAUGGAAGGUUGGCAAAGGGGGUUGGUUAACCUUCAGCCCAGAGACUGGCAGUCCUGCAUGACUCCACAGAUGCCAACAUAAUCUUGGCUGCACUGACAGGGCAAGCAGUCCAGGCAUCUCUCACACUCCCACCCAGGCCAGCUGCCCGAGCAUUGAACCCCGCCAUCCUCUCUCUCUUCUCACACCUGCCGCAGACCUGACACUACCUGUGGGGCCUCCCCCUCCCCUACAGAACGUGGCUCUGCUCCAUCCUCACUCUGUCCUCUGGCAGCCGCAGCAAGAGUCGGUGUGCAGCAGAAUUGGAAGACAGAUGGCAAGAGGGAAGAGAAGAAGGACAGGAGGGAGAGGACACGGGGGAGAAGACAAGAAGGGAAGUGGAGAAAUUAUGGCAGGGCCCACAAUGUCACUGUGAGCCCCCCAAACCCAGGGGGCAAGACAGUAAGAUGAGGGAAGAGAGGGAAGCGGGGAGGAGGGGGAGGAAACGGAUGCAAGGCCAGCAAAGGGAAGAGGAUAAGAAAAAGGCAGAGCAGAGGGAAAAGACUAAUUACUCCCAGCCCUCCAAUAUUCACUUACAUGCUAUGCUGCUUCUUCUUCCAUUCAGUUCCUUCCUGCUACUUGCCCGGGGCACCCAGCUUGGCCCAUUACCCACCCAUUAAUGCCCCUACCUGGGAAUCUCUGGAAUUCACUAUGCUGGAUUAAAACCCUGGCUCUACUAGUCACUAGCUGGGUGAAUUUAGACCAAUUACUUAAUCUCACUAAGCCUUAGUUUCCACAUCUGUGAAAUGGGGAUAAUAAUAUCUAUCUCAUAGUUUUGGUAUGGGAUUAAGUGAGACUUAAUUUGAAAUAUAUACACACAUAUAUAUACACAUAUAUAGAUCUACGUGUGUGUGUGUGUGUGUGUGUAUAUGUAUCUCUCUCUCAACACAGAUGCUUGGCCCAUAAAAGGUGCUCCCUGGUAGCUAGUUUUAGUUAUAAUGUACAUCCCUGGCACGUAGAUAGCAACUUAUUUUACUAUCUUGGACACCGGCUUCCACUUCCGACAAGGCCAAAACUUAGAGACGAAAUGGCACAUGCCCGGCCCCUGUAUUUUCUACUGUUUUCUGAGAACAUAAUUUCUAGUUGGAGUAUUAAUUACUAGCUUGGAGCAUUACUAGCUGCUGCUAUUUCUCAGGGUCCCCUUGGAGACCAAGCAACCGCUAAGAUGGCUGGCUUUCUCCAUAGAACUCACAGCUAGCACCAGCAAUGAGGAAAUACGCACACGCGCACACACACACACGCAGUCUUUACAUCUGGUUAGGGCUCCAAGUAUUUCCUAAGUGUCUCAUCACACUUACUAAGGCCUGAGAAUCUCAGAGCUGAGACACUGCAGAGGUGAUGUAGCCCAAGCCAUCCCCUGAGGCCUGAGUGUCCUCUGCAGCACCCGACUAGGGGCCGGGGGGUUAGCACAACCUGUCCCCAUUCCCAGGAAAAAACCCAGCACACAGCUCACACUCAAUGAUGUCAGCUUCCUACAGGAAGGACAGGUACAGCAUCACUAAUUAAAAAGAGGUCACAACCACGAAGUUCAUUCAUCCAGGCCUCUUGGGAACAAAUCAUAUCAACAACCACCAAACAAAUGGAUUCAUGUUAAUUUGGAGGUAUUCUUAUCUGAGAGCAAUAGAAUAUAGUUCACCAAAGCAGAAACCUGGGCAAGCGUCAACUAAAUGUUGGUGGGUCCAGGAAGAAAUCCACUGAUUCAGGCUAGGUGCCUGUCACAACUUGGUUAGCCUUUCUGAACCUGUUUCCUUGUCUGAAAGAUGAAAGUAGCAAUAGUUGCUGUGAGGCGUGAUUAAGGCAUGAUGCAUUCAGAGGCAUAGUACAGUGUCUGGCAAAGAUUCAAGAAACUUUAGACUCUUUCCCCUUUCUGCACCAAUAAGCAAAUCUGAAAAGAUCAUGAAUACACAGUGCUGCAAAAUGAGAAACAGAAUUUCCCCCUUUAGACAAGAGAGCACUGUGAUGCAGACACAGCCCUGGCAUCAGCAAGGAAGGCCCUGGUUCCCCUUCUCAUCAUCCCUGGAGAGAUGGGUGUCAGAGGUCAGGUGAGGGAAUCUCUUUGUGCGUGAUUCUCCAACUCUGCAAACAAUAGCUGGCCAUUUCUUCUGAGGAAUAAGCUGAAAUCAAACAUACCUGAUAGGCGAACUGGGCUUGAUGCAGUCCCAAGCACUCUGCUGAGCACUGAAGCCACUUUUCCUCACCACAACUAUGGGAGCUAGAGAAGGGAGGCGAUUAGUGGUGAAGACAGUGGGGACCUGCCCCAGGUGGCAUUAGUGAAAUAGACAAUUCUCUAGGGUCCUCUGCACCAACCCAGAACUCUCCACAUAAGAGCUGCCCUAGGAACACCACAGUUCUGUGGCCUGCCCUGGCAGAUGUGCCCUCACAUCUGGGUGAUAAGGGGUCCCCAAGAGGAGCCAAACCCCCUGGGGGCAGCCCGGUCACAGCCACAACUGGCUGCCCACAGGCUGGGAGCCACUCAACUCAGAGGCAGAGUCCUAUGCACUGCACUCUCCAGACAGAUGGAAGGACACUCCCCCCGGGGCAGAACAGCACUGUAGACUGAAGGACAGCUUUGAAUCUGUCUGCCCAACCGGUUCAAAUCUUGUUUUCUGUCCCCUAAAUGUCACCAGUGUAACUGUCAAGGGGCCAAGGGGAAUCACCCAAAUUGGACAGCACCUUCAGGGCAGAAGCUCUGUUUGAUUUAUCUUUUGUUUCCACAGCACCUAGCCUACUGCCUGGCACAGAGUGGAUAUUCAGGAAAUUUCUGUUCAUGUGAAAGAUGAGAAAGGUCACAGACUCCUUAAGAUCCCUAAAGCAGCUACGACAGCUCAUUUCUGGACUGAGCAGAGCUGACCUUAGAGGCCAGAAGGGCAGGGCUAGGGAUGCUGACUGCUAGGGGGAUGAGAAACCUCUCUUAAAUCAGAGUAUGGAGGCACUGGGCCAAUUAGAGGAGGACCAACCUUUCAGAAUCGUAAGACUGGAAAGUGUGUGCCUUCACGUUUCAUUUUGCCUCUCCCCAGACUAAACCAACUAAACCAUCUCUGGAAAAGACAGAGGCCAAGGUGACAGGAAUUGUUCAUUUAUAUAUGAAUGAGGCGUUGCUAAGUCAUCAGAGGCUGGAGAAAAAUGGAAGACUCUUUUUCCCAGGUUGCCAACCUCAAAGUUAGGUAACUAUUGGCAGAGGUCAGACUAGGAAGAGGACAGGCAUGAUCUGCAGGAGGUUAUGGAAAGCAGCAUCCCAGAUGGGGCAGCCCUCCCUGCUCCAGGCCACUGGGCUAGAGCUCAGCUCUGGACUGGCUUCUCAUCCUGUCCUGCUGACUGCAUAGUCACAGAUCUGCUGAUAGUCUCCAGACAAGACUAGCUCUGCUACCCUGGUCAUAUCUCAGGCUGGUACCCUCUCCAACCUGUUGCACCUAUUUGCUUAAAAUUAAGAGGGCUGAGCUGGGCAGUGCAAGAAAGAACUAGAAAGCCAGUCUCACCUGGAAACUCUACCAACUGCUAUGAAGGACACAGGGAAGAGGUGGCAGGCAGGAACAAUGCCUUAAGUUUUCCCCAGGUUCCUUGAACUCUCCAUGGCCCUCUGGCCUCCCCUCACCCCCACUACCUCUCAUAAGGAAGCAGCCCUGGCUUUCUAGUAUGCUGAUAAUAAGGUCCUAUCAGGCCAACUGAGAAAAGUCUCAUCUAGAAGGAAAGUACUCAGUGCGCUAUCUGUUCUGUAGGAAGGCUGAAGGCAAUGCCUCCUGGUCACAUCAGCAAUGCUAUAGAGAAAGGAAAGGUGCAAGAGCAGGACAGAGACUGCUCUGGCUGUGUACCUGGAGGAUGAUCUCUGAGGAUCUCUGCACCGCCAAGCACCCUCCGGGCUGCUGACGACACGGUCAGAUUCCCCAGUGCGUGAGCCUAUACUACAGCAGUGUAGACUACAGCAGUUAAGAGCCCAACAGUGCGGCCAGGCAGGUCUGGGCUCUGAAGAACUGUGUUCACAUACUAGAAUUUUCUUGGACAACUGAGAAGUCAUUUAACACCUCUGGAGUCUCAGUUUCCUCAUCUGCAAAAUAGAUAUAUUAAUAGCACUUACCUCACAGGGUCAUUAGGAGGACUAAAUAAGCCAAAAUAUUCAAACCACUUAGAACAAUGCCUGGAGCAUAUUAAGCAUUCAAUGAACGUUAGUCAGUAUCAUCUUUACUGUCAGCUUUUUGAGAAUAGCCCUUUCUGGGAUAUUCUUCAUAGCACCCAGUACAGCAGAGCUUCAUUAAUUAAAAAAGAAAGAAAGAAAGAAAGAAAAAGAAAGAAAGACAGACAAACACUAAGCUAUUCUAUUAGUCAGGGUUCUCUAGAAGGACAGAACCAAUAGGAUAGAUAAAUAUAUAAAGGGGAGUUUAUUAAGUAUUAACUCACAUGAUCACAGGUCCCACAAUAGGCUGUCUGCAAGCUGAGAAGCAAGGAGAGCUGGUCCAAGUCCCAAAACUGAAGAACUUCAGAGUCUGAUGUUCAAGGGCAGGAAGGAUCCAGCAAGGGAGAAAGAUGUAGGCUGGGAGGCUUGGCCAGUCUAGUCUUUUCGCGUUUUUCUGCCUGCUUUAUUUUCUAUCUGCACUCGCAGCUAAUUAGAUGGUGCCCACCCAGAUUAAGGGUGGGUCUGCCUUUCCCAGUGCACUGACUCAAAUGCUAAUCUCCUUUGGUAACACCGUCAUAGACACACCCAGCAUCAAUACUUUGCAACUGGCCAGACACGGUGGCUUAUGCCUGUAAUCCCAGGACUUUGGUAGGCCCAGGCAGGCGGAUCACAAGGUCAGGAGAUCGAGACCAUCCUGGCCAACAUGGUGAAACCCCGUCUCUACUAAAACACAAAAAAUUAGCCAGGCAUGGUGGCAUACGCUUGUAGUCCCACCUACUCGGGAGGCUGAGACAGGGGAAUCACUUGAAUCCGGGAGGCGGAGAUUGCAGUGAGCCCAGAUCACGCCACGGCACUCCAGCCUGGCAACGGAGCAAGACUCCGUCAAAAAAAAAAAAAAAAAAAAAAAAAAAAAAACCCAGAACUUUGCAACCUUAAAUCCAAUCAAGUUGACACUCAGUAUUAACCAUCAUCACAGCUAUUAAUACGAUUUAAUAUAUAUGUGAGGCGCUUUACACACAUUGCUGAGUUCCCACAUAAACCCAAUGCCAAAAGUGUUUUCACAGAAAAUAGCUUGCCUAGAAUGAUAUUAGUGAUUGGCCAGGCUAGGAUUGAAACUCAGGCUCUGACUCCAGAGCCUGCUUCUUCUUCCCAAAGGUUACACUGCCUGCAGAACACCACCUUCUGAGCCCCUCUACCUUUAUCAGAAUGAGAAGGGAGUGGGGGCCCAAACAAAAUUCAAGCAAGAGAGGAAGAGAACACAAAAAGAGAUGCUGGGAAGCUCAGAAGAAAUUCACCACCUUGUCAAGGCCUGUGUCUUUUUCUGGAUCUGGGUUUGUCAUCAUUUGCAGCUUUUGCUUUGACUCUGGAUGUUAGAUUACGUAGAGCACUACAUGGAGCACACGGUGCCUUCAAUGAGAAACCAGCAAGCAGUCAGUCUGAAACUGUUUCUAUAGACGUGGACAAGACUUCUCACAAUGUCCCAGCUACCCAAUGACACUGAUUCUAAUGCUAACACACCUCCAGGCACUUCAAAUGCUUUUGGCACUCUGACCAGAAGCUAGCCACGCAGGGUCUGUGUGAGCCGCAGCAAGGCUGUCUGCUAUAUAAGCUCAGAACUCCUGCUUUUGGAAGAAGUAUCAUUUCAACAGAACAGAAAGUGACACCCCAACAGUAGAAUUCCUACAAAUUCUAACUGUGCUAACAUCUUCCUAACAACAGUCCUACUUAAAAACUUCACUUUGGCCGGGCGCGGUGGCUCACGCCUGUAAUCCCAGCACUUUGGGAGGCCGAGGCAGGCGGAUCACGAGGUCAGGA